CAGUCGCCACGGUAAUACGGAGGGUGCAAGCGUUAUCCGGAUUCACUGGGUUUAAAGGGUGCGUAGGCGGGCAGGUAAGUCAGUGGUGAAAUCUUCGAGCUUAACUCGGAAACUGCCGUUGACACUAUCUGUCUUGAAUAACGUUGAGGUGAGCGGAAUAUGUCAUGUAGCGGUGAAAUGCUUAGAUAUGACAUAGAACACCGAUUGCGAAGGCAGCUCACUAAACGCUCAUUGACGCUGAGGCACGAAAGCGUGGGGAUCAAACAGGAUUAGAUACCCCCGUAGUCCCUGUCUCUUAUAC
rnacentral:rRNA from 1 species